rnacentral:rRNA from 1 species
AUUGAACGCUGGCGGCAUGCUUUACACAUGCAAGUCGAACGGCAGCGCGGGCUUCGGCCUGGCGGCGAGUGGCGAACGGGUGAGUAAUACAUCGGAACGUGCCCAGUAGUGGGGGAUAGCUCGGCGAAAGCCGGAUUAAUACCGCAUACGACCUGAGGGUGGAAGCGGGGGAUCUUCGGACCUCGCGCUAUUGGAGCGGCCGAUGGCAGAUUAGCUAGUUGGUGGGGUAAAGGCCUACCAAGGCGACGAUCUGUAGCUGGUCUGAGAGGACGACCAGCCACACUGGGGCUGAGGCACGGCCCAGACUCCUACGGGAGGCAGCAGUGGGGAAUUUUGGACAAUGGGCGAAAGCCUGAUCCAGCAAUGCCGCGUGUGUGAUGAAGGCCUUCGGGUUGUAAAGCACUUUUGGCGGGAACGAAAAGGACUGUGCCAAUACCACGGUUCGAUGACGGUACCCGCAGAAUAAGCACCGGCUAACUACGUG